CAACAACAACAACAACAACAACAAACACUCGAAAAAACGCAUCGCGACUAUUUUACGCUCCGUAAAUUUCAGCAGCCCGUUUGAGGGUCAAAACGGCUGAAUUUGGGGCCGAAAAAUCGUGACGCCCUUUAACCGCCCUUGAUGGUUUCUGGGCCUUUCCGAAAUGGUGCUGUGAGCGGCGUAGUUCCUCACGGUUCAAAAGUUAUGGGUUUUCAAGUUAUGGGUUUUCCAAAGCUAGAAUCGUUUUAGAUCCAAAAACAAAAUAAAAAA
rnacentral:lncRNA from 1 species